UUCUUUUUUUUUAUUUGUUUAGUGAUAUUGGAUAAUAUAAAUUCUCUGGUUUCCAUUUCUUAAAUUUAGUAAAAAUAGAAUUACCAUUUGGCAGCUGACAACAUUUUUGGUGUGAACAAUGUCUUAGUGACUUUUUAAUUGUGAUAACAAGUACUAAGUUACUAUUAUAUUAUAUAUAUUUUGUUUAUUUCAUGCAGGAACAUGGAAGACGAACUUACUUUCUGUACGAUCGGUUAUGAUCGAUUGGGUAUUUGAGACUUAGGAAAUGUAAACACUUUUGUGACUAAAGGCUAGCGCACAUAUAGGUGAUCGCCCCAUAUUCUAUAAUUUUAUUAUUCAAAUCGUCAAUUUAUUUUGGGAAGUCUUUUUGGCUUUGAAUGUGUGGUAAAGUUAUAGACCAAACUUAUUUGUGUGUAUAAAUUUCUCGUAGAGGUGUCGUUAAAGAAAGUGACUUUAUUUAGAGUUUUAUCGUGAUUCAUGUUAAUUUAUUAUUCAGUGUGGAAACCGCUUUUUCAUCCGCUGUCGCAAAUACAAAGUUGGAGGAAGAUAGUGUCAGUUCGGUUUGUUUACAAGAUGACGUUCAGGAAUCAUCGGAGAGUGCAACGGAAUCUUCACUACCCACCCCUCUAUCCCUCUCUCAGCACAUGCUGAAAAAUCCAUGACUAAGAGCCCCGUAUGGGUUCGAAACUACUCGGGCAUGACCGAAGUAGUAUCACGUGAGUUUUAACCGUGUUUCAUUAUACAUUAAUCAAUAAAGUUACUUCAGUUUUACACACUAAUGAAGUGUCUAUACUGCAAAACGCGUCAAACGUUGUACAUUUUACCACUAUACAUCCAAAGCCGAACAGACUUUAAAAAAUAGAUAAACUAACCUGCCUUCAGUUACCAACUGUCAAACUAUGCAAUAUGGGAGUACAAACUCAAGCAAAAGUAUUUUGGUUACUAUAUGUUUUUUUUUUAUUAGUGUCUGUCAGUUACUCUAUAAUAGAAAAAAAAUAAUUUCAUAUAUUUAAUAGUUCUUAGUUGAAUGAAAUGGGCGAAAUUAA
rnacentral:lncRNA from 1 species